AUACUUACCUGGACAGGGUCAAUGGGUGAUCAAUAAAAUCCAUGGCCUAGGCUGGUGACCUCCAUUGCACUUUGGAGGGGUGCCUACCUAAGGUCGGCCCAAGUGGUUGAGCCUACGUCAUAAUUUGUGGUAGAGGGGCCUGCGUUCGCGCGAACCCUGC
rnacentral:snRNA from 1 species